GCCCAUCUCUCGCACGCCUCUCUUUUUUUUUUUUUUUUUUUUUUGAACAAGCUCGCACGCCCCUUCUGGCCAACCGCUCGCUCCGCCGCCGCUCGCCCCGCCGCCGCCCCUUCACGCCUCGCCGCUCGCCCCGCCUCUGAUGGCCGCCGAAGCCAGCGGAAGCCGCACGCCCCCUCACCUGCUGACCUGGGGUUGAGACGGCCGAGCCGCUAGAGGAGCCGCCGCCCCUGAGGCCUGCCGACCAGGGGUUGCGCCGGCCGCCCCCGCCGAUUUUCCGCUCGCUAGGGGCCCCGCACGCCCUGGCCUGGGGACUGCCGACGCUGGCGCCUUACGCCCUAGGGUUACUGGCUGCUGCCGACGCCUUACACCGUGCUGUUGCUGGCAGCUUCUGACGCCAUCUGAAUCUUUUCCGGUCAGGAUAAAUUGCGGUGAUUUUGCAUAAUCUGUCCAGGGAGCUUUUCAAGACCAAAUGCUUCCUUAAUCAAGCUGUUUGGCAACGACAAUGCCAAGGUUCAGUUCGGCAAGGAAGCCCAACAACUUUUCUUAAUGACCACUAUGACAAGUAUUCUGGCUUGGUAAAACAAGAAAUUCUGACGGUGCAGCCAGAUGUUGAUAAGGAGGUUAUCUGGUCCUCUCGACCAGUGAGGUUAAAAAACUUCUUCGCCAAAAUCUGAAAGUGUAGAUAUAUGCCUAAGUGUAUGAUAUCAUGGCAUUCACACACUUCACUCCAUCUAAUACAUCAAAUAAAGUGUUGGUAUUGCCUCUCUUUGAUUUCUUUCAUCAUGAAUGGAUAUGUGCAUAUCCUCAUAACUUAUUGUCUGUGUUGCUUGAAUAAGAAUUGCUUUAUUUGUUCAAGUGUUUUUAAUGUUAACCAGUGUGAUUGUCCCUAAAAAAGAACCACCGGUGGUAAUUUGUAGUUUUCUAUGUGGAAACCUGGGUGAUGGAUAGUCUUAUCAGGGUUGUGUGCCGUUCAAAAGGUAGAGGAAACUAGCUUAGUCCAAGAUUUUUAUGCCGCUGAGAUCUGGCAUUACUUUUUUGUUUUACCGCGUUCUGUUAUGAACUCACUCAGAAAGUAGUGCAAAUAAAAAAAAUGGCUUCAUGGAUUCUUCUUCUGACUGCCUUUCCUCAAAGGAAAGAUUAAUUAGUUUUACUUUUUUUUUCCUUAGUUGUCAUUUUAAUAUUUUUGUGUGUACUAAUGAAAGGUUGCAUUUAUUUUCCUUUACUUGGUGAUGGUAAGAACAUAUGCUGCUUGCUAUAUCUUGUUUUGGCCACGUUAAUAGCAAUUACCUUGGUUUUAACAAAGUGCAUAUAUAGUCUGAUUCAUCGUAGCCUUGUAGGCAAAACAUGCGGUGAUAAAAAUGUAGACAACUAUUUUCGCUAUGAAUUCCGAGUAAUACUAGAUAGUCUAACAUGGCUUCAGAUUCUUUUGUUGUUUCAUAUGUUAGUUUUCUUCUUCACAUGGACAAGGGGGCUAAGUUUGGCAUACGUUGUAUAUUUCUCGAUGUAAUAUCUCGUCACUUCCUUUUUUAUAGUCCUUAGUUGCUAGCUUAUAGGUCAAUUGUAGAGGUAGCACUUGUGUUCUCUGGGCUAAGCUUAGUUGGGUGUCAGGCCAAGCACCAAGCAGUUGACUGCAGCCUGGCAAGAAUCUGAGGUAGUAUGUUUUUUUUUUCUGUGUAGCGAUGCAUGGGCCUUUAGCUAUCUUCGAAGCGAAUAAUAAUUGAUUAAUGUAUUUCAAAGAAAGAAAGGAGUGCAAAACAACCAGAAUGGCCAAUGUUGAAGAUCUCAAGUUUUUUUUCAGAGUGAAGAGUACUCCAUAUAAAUUCGAUUGCAGAAGAAACAGUAAGUUUUAACUACUUGCUUUUUGACUUCUUUUAGGAGGGUGAGCAGAUUAGUCGUCAAUUAAUUCCUUCCUUGUUUUAAUUUGGCUUAACCUCUGAUGCACGUGAAUUGUGAGGUAUUUUUUGUACGGGCAUGAUGAGGUUCUAAAGCUUUGUACCAAACUCCAGGUUUGUGUAUUAAUGAAAUUGGUGUAAAAUUAACAGUUAUCUUCUCUGAAUUUAGAAGGGCGGAGUUCAGGUUUGUGUAAUAAUGAUAGUCAAGUUAUUCCACCUCCUCUAUCAACAGUUGGUAUUCCAUCAUUGAAGGUGUUCCUUUAGAAGGGCAGAGUUCUAGAAACACCGGAUCCUCGAUGAAGAGUCAAGUUCAUUUUGCAACUUUUUCUUUCAUUUAGUGAUAUAUUUACAUUUGCAUCACAGGUGAGAUAUUGAACCCUACGUAUAGUUUAGUUUACAUGACCGAUGUUAAUAUUUUGAUACAUUGUUUAAGUAAGGAUUAUCAUGAAUGCUAACUGAUGAAAUCUAUGCGUCCAAGAUGGCAUAAGACAGACUUCACUGUAUAUAAAUGAUUGUUGUUUGCAGAGGGUGAUCGUCACGCCACUGAGGAUAGCGUCGCCGUCGGAGCCGAGGCUGAUUGUCGACCGCCUGGAUCUGGGGGCGCCGCUCAGGCCAGGCGCCCGCACCAUGAUGCUGCCAUCUUCCUACGAGUCACUGCUAGCUGGAGUUGAUCGGUAACUGGUUGAUUUGGCCAUUAAUAGCUUACCCCGAUCUCUCUGUUUCACAUAGGUUAGCUCGGCUAGCGUCCGUCUUGAUGUUUUUCCUGAUGCUGUACAUGGUUUUUUGGGUCUUCUCUACAUAUAUUCGCAAGACAAAUAGGCCUACUAUAGCAUAGUCAAAAUUGGUAGCUCUAUCUAGAAAAGUUGUGAUAUUUUUGGUGAAGUUCUCAAGUUGUGCAUUGUGGUAGUGUCCCUGCUUCAUCUAUAACAACAUCUGCACCUCACUGCCAAGUUGCUGGUGAGCCGCAUCCACGCUAAAGAUGAGGGCGUCAAUUGCAUGGCCUUCUCAGUUUGUUCAAAUUGCAAGUUUGACUGAUUCCCCCUCUAUUCAGGUUGUGAGCCCCUUUGAUUAAUUCCUUGCUAUAACUCUGUAGUGACGGUAUCAAGUUUCAAGGAUUUUGGGUCCAACUCUGUAUGAAUACUGUUUCUUUGCUGCAAGUUGGUCGAUCCAAUCUAAAAAACGAGACCUGAGAGGCAAGCACCCCUCGGCAUAUUUUUAUCGAAGGACAUACCCAGAUUUUUAUAUUAUAAACAGAUGGACACAUUGUUUGAAGUAGUCUUGCAGUAGAUAGUGUUAAGAUGUGCUAUAUGGGAUGAUAUGAACCAAAUAGCAAAAGCAUUGCUGUUGCCUAUGCUACUAAAACAAUAUGGAUACAACAUUAGCUAAAAGCCUAUUUUUAUAUUUAUUCAUCUUCAGAUCAUUCAUUCUUUCUUUAACUUUUUAUUUGCUUCCUCAUUCUGUUCUUGAUUUUCAGGUAACAUAAUUGAUAUGGUUUAGCAUUCAAGGUGUAUGUUCACACGAAACUGUUUUUAAAUGUCACAAUGUUUGUGAAUGGAGCAGCAACACAUUUUUUUUACAUUUCAUGGGCAUAUGCCAAGAUCUCUUAUGCUCCUAAAAAGGAUCUGAUCUUGAUAUACAUGUCCUUGGCGCUUUCAGAAGUAUGUAGACCAUCUCCCGGUACAUGUAAAAGUACCAAUUUCAGAAAUAUGUAAAGGGACCUUCUCUUGGUCCAUGUAAAUAGCACUUUUAGAUAUAUAGUUUAAAACACCUGAAUACGAUUA